GAUACCAACAAGUCAAAGUGAACAACAUAAAUCAACCCAGCAUAAGCUUCCUUAGUAAAUCGAAUCAUACUAGUGUGUCAACAUUUGAAAGGGUUUGCCAAUGAUGAUGAUGUGUCACCUAACUAACAACCAUACCUAUAGGCUUGAUCAAUAAACAUCCUCUGAUAUUCAAGCAACAAUUACUAAGCAUGUGAAUCCUCUCAAUUUCAACAGGACAUUUUAACCUUAAGGUCUUGACAUGUGUUCAAACAAAAAAAAUCAGUUACAAAGUUGCAGGCAACUAAAAGAGAGUGCCAACCAUUGGAUCGUCUUUCAGGUAAUGAUCUUAAAAGAUACAUGAAAUCAUUGCUAAACUCACUAUACCCCGUAAACAAAGUAAUCCUACAACCUAUACAAUAGGU